rnacentral:antisense_RNA from 2 species
CUCCAUGGCGGGCCUUGGCAGGGAUACCUUCGGGUAUGCCGGUCUUCGAUAUUCUUCCGGUUCGCCAACCCUGUCUUGUGCCCGCCACCCUC